CUUUUGAUAAUAAUUUAAGGUCUGGCCUGCCCAAUGAUUUUUGAAUGGCCGCGGUAAUUUGACCGUGCAAAGGUAGCAUAAUCAUUAGUUUUUUAAUUGAANGCUUGUAUGAAAGGUUGGAUGAGAGNAUCACUGUCUCUAUUAAAAUUUUUUAUAAUUUUAUUUUUAAGUGAAAAAGCUUAAAUAUAUAUAAAAGACGAGAAGACCCUAUAGAGUUUUAUAGCUACAUAAUAUUAGAAGUNUAGAAUUUUAUUUUUUGAUAAUAUGCAGGUAUUUUGUUGGGGYGAUAAAAAAAUUUAAUAAACUUUUUUUUUAAUUAAACAAUAAUUUUUGAUUAUUUGAUCYYAUUUUAAGAUUAAAAGAAUAAAUUACNUUAGGGAUAACAGCGUAAUUUUUUUUAAGAGUUCUAAUCGAAAAAAAAGAUUGCGACCNCGAUGUUGGAUUUAAAUUUAAAAUUGGUGUAGGUAGCAAA
rnacentral:rRNA from 1 species